rnacentral:rRNA from 1 species
UUAUAAGAGACAGCAGUAGCCACGGUAAUACAGAGGGUGCGAGCGUUAAUCGGAUUUACUGGGCGUAAAGCGUGCGUAGGCGGCUUUUUAAGUCGGAUGUGAAAUCCCUGAGCUUAACUUAGGAAUUGCAUUCGAUACUGGGAAGCUAGAGUAUGGGAGAGGAUGGUAGAAUUCCAGGUGUAGCGGUGAAAUGCGUAGAGAUCUGGAGGAAUACCGAUGGCGAAGGCAGCCAUCUGGCCUAAUACUGACGCUGAGGUACGAAAGCAUGGGGAGCAAACAGGAUUAGAUACCCCGGUAGUCCCUGUCUCUUAUAC